UUCAAGCUGGUCAUCUGUCCUGAUGAGGGCUUCUACAAGAGUGGGAAGUUUGUGUUCAGUUUUAAGGUGGGCCAGGGUUACCCGCAUGAUCCCCCCAAGGUGAAGUGUGAGACAAUGGUCUAUCACCCCAACAUUGACCUCGAGGGCAACGUCUGCCUCAACAUCCUCAGAGAGGACUGGAAGCCAGUCCUUACGAUAAACUCCAUAAUUUAUGGCCUGCAGUAUCUCUUCUUGGUGAGUAGGAAUAGGUGGUUGGGUCUGGGGAGAUUGGCCUUCUGUCCCUCUGGCCUGUUGACCCCCCCUACCUGUACUGGCCACAGGAGCCCAACCCCGAGGACCCACUGAACAA
rnacentral:lncRNA from 1 species